CCUAGUCAAAGCAAAAGAUUCAUAGAGGCAAUACGAACUGGUCGCAAGUAAGACUGGGUGCUGGUGUUACACUUGCAUCAGGUCAGGUACGGAUAACAAAGUGACUGAAAGAACCUCUACCUUUAGAGAACCUACUGUAUAUUUAAUAUAUAUAAUUAUAUAAAUAAAAAUAAAUUAUAUAUAUAUUCUUAACGGGUUAACGGAUGAUCCGUUAAGAAAAUUGAAUAAUCUGCCCCCAAUCCGAUAAGCCGUUAAUAAAAAAAUUUUAAUCCGUUCCCCGUCCGUUAAGCCGUUAAGUUGUUACCACUAAGCCAUUAAGCUUCAGUUUGGAUUGGUUUUCGGUUUCGGAUCGGUUUUGAACACCCCUACUCUCAGCAAAUGGCUAAGACAUUCAGCAAAAACAAGUUGGUCGUGAAACCUCACAAGUGUCAAAGUUCUCACCCCAUCGAGAACGUUC
rnacentral:lncRNA from 1 species